rnacentral:rRNA from 1 species
ACGCGUGAGAACAUGCCUUUAGAUUGGGGACAACAGUUGGAAACGACUGCUAAUACCGAAUGUGCCUUAGGGUGAAAGAUUUAUUGUCUAGAGAUUGCCUCGCGUCAGAUUAGCUAGUUGGAGUGGUAACGGCACACCAAGGCGACCAUCUGUACUUGGUCUGAGAGGAUGACCAGGCACACUGGAACUGAGACACGGUCCAGACUCCUACGGGAGGCAGCAGUGGGGAAUUUUCCGCAAUGGGCGAAAGCCUGACGGAGCAAUACCGCGUGAGGGAGGACGGCUUUUGGGUUGCAAACCUCUUUUAUCAGGGAAGAAUCCAUGACCCUACCUGAUGAAUCACCAUCGGCUAACUCCGUGCCAGCAGCCACGCCAAUACGGAGGAUGCAAGCGUUAUCCGGAAUUAUUGGGCGUAAAGCGUCCGGAGGUGGUUUAUCAAGUCUGCUGUCAAAGCGUGCGGCUUAACCGCAUAAGGGCAGUGGAAACUGAUGAACUAGAGUGCGAUAGGGGUAACAGGAAUUCCCAGUGUAGCGGGGAAAUGCGUAGAUAUUGGGAAGAACACCAGCGGCGAAAGCGUGUUACUGGGUCUGCCUGACACUGAGGGACUAAAGCUAGGGGAGCGAAAGGGAUUAGAUACCCCU